GAUUUACCGAUUACUUUACUGUUUGAUCAAAUGCGCCAAAUUCAAAAUGCACCUUAAACUUUGAUAAAAUGAUUGUACUCUAUUUUAAGUGUUAAAACAAUCGGUAUACGUGUUUUCUAGCUUUGUAUCGCUUACAAGAACCAAAUAAACACACGCCGACCAUACAUUUGAAUAGGCGAUUCACGCGUGGGCUUCGUAAUGGCGGACACAAGCGCCGUUUUCUAACGUGACUUUGGUUCCCACAGGCUAUUUAUAACUUAUUUUAUGAGAGAUCUAAAACUCUGGUUCCGAAUAUAAUAACAGUUGUUAGAUGCGUCAUAUUUCGAUAAAGUGCGACAAAACCUACAUUUGCCUUCAAGGACAAAACGCCGGAGUUUUUUCAAAAAAAAUUAUACUGCGGGUAUCAGAGAGACGCAAGGAACAUUUUAAGACCAAAAUUUUCACUGGUCAACAGCGGCAGUAUUACCCUAUAGAUCCAGUUAAGUAAAACUCUAACUGGUUAUGGUAAAUUAAACAGAAUUUUGUGUUUGCCACUUUGCAUUUUAUGGGACUAAUUACUUUGCAUCAUGUAAAUCAGUACUACUAACAUAAGCUAAAAAAUAAACUGUUUUUCCAUA